rnacentral:rRNA from 1 species
GUAGUCCACACUGUAAACGAUGGAUACUAGGUGUAGGAGGUAUCGACCCCUUCUGUGCCGCAGUUAACACAAUAAGUAUCCCACCUGGGGAGUACGGCCGCAAGGCUGAAACUCAAAGGAAUUGACGGGGGCCCGCACAAGCAGUGGAGUAUGUGGUUUAAUUCGAAGCAACGCGAAGAACCUUACCUGGGCUUGACAUCCCUAGAAUCCCCAAGAGAUUGGGGAGUGCCUUCGGGAACUAGGAGACAGGUGGUGCAUGGUUGUCGUCAGCUCGUGUCGUGAGAUGUUGGGUUAAGUCCCGCAACGAGCGCAACCCCUAUUGUUAGUUGCCAUCAUUAAGUUGGGCACUCUAGCGAGACUGCCGGUGAUAAAUCGGA